ensembl:lncRNA
AGGAAACUGAAAACACCCGGUGAAACCUGGCCCGGCACAGUGACACCCUGCCCUGCGGUGACACACAGGAUAGUGACAGGCAAAUCUGUUUCAGCCUGCAGCUCUAUCUGCCGAGGACUCGCAAUAAUUUCUGUUAUCUGUCAUUUUUCUGUGCCACCUAGCUUACUUGGCUGUGUUGUUGGAAUCUCUGAGCGGAGACUGAAUGAAAGCAGUGUUUGUUUGCUGUGAUUGGAUCAGCUGUGAUUGGAUCAGUUACUCAGGGAGCCGAGCUAUGCGAAGGGCCCGAAACCCACUCCACCCUGAGUCAGAGGUGGAGCAUCCCUGGAGACCUGUUCUCAUGACUCACCAGCUGCUAUCUGCAAACAGCCUCUGGGGGAAAUGCCAAACAAUUCACCGAUGGAUUCUCAACAAGGUCAAGAAUGAAAGGAACAUAGGUGCCCACUGUUAGAGAAACCUGGAAGAAGCCUCAGGAUCAAGUCAUGAACUUGGUUUUUGGUGGCUCAGAGGUUAAAGCCUCAGCAUAAAAUGCGGGAGACCUGGGUUCAAUCCCUGGGUCAGGAAGAUCCCCUGGAGAAGAAAAUGGCAACCCACUCCAGUAUUCUUGCCUGGAGAAUCCUAUGGACGGAGGAGCCUGAGCUGAUCUCAGGCUACGACCCUCAUGGCAGAUGUCAACAAUCCAACAUCUCAGGAAGACAUGUUUAGCAGCUGGGAGCCUACUCACAGUUUGGUGGAAGAUACCUUCUCUGGGGCUGAGAUUGCAGCAGUCCCUUGCCUUCCGGUUCUGGCUGUUGCUAGCCUGCCUCUCUGCCUCCAG